rfam:Schistosoma mattheei strain Denwood, Zambia genome assembly, scaffold: SMTD_scaffold0018158
AUCCAGCUGACGAGUCCCAAAUGGGACGAAACGCGCGUCGCGGAU